rnacentral:rRNA from 1 species
CCUACGGGAGACAGCAGUGAGGAAUAUUCGUCAAUGGACGAGAGUCUGAACCAGCCAAGUAGCGUGAAGGAUGACUGCCCUAUGGGUUGUAAACUUCUUUUAUAUGGGAAUAAAAUGUUCCACGUGUGGGAUUUUGUAUGUACCAUAUGAAUAAGGAUCGGCUAACGCCGUGCCAGCAGCCGCGGUAAUACGGAGGAUCCGAGCGUUAUCCGGAUUUAUUGGGUUUAAAGGGAGCGUAGGUGGAUUGUUAAGUCAGUUGGGAAAGUUUGCGGCUCAACCGUAAAAUUGCAGUUGAAACUGGCAGUCUUGAGUACAGUAGAGGUGGGCGGAAUUCGUGGUGUAGCGGUGAAAUGCUUAGAUAUCACGAAGAACUCCGAUUGCGAAGGCAGCUCACUGGACUGCAACUGACACUGAGGCUCGAAAGUGUGGGUAUCAAACAGGAUUAGAUACCCCAGUAGUC